rnacentral:rRNA from 1 species
GAUGAACGCUGGCGGCGUGCCUAAUACAUGCAAGUCGAGCGAACGGACGAGAAGCUUGCUUCUCUGAUGUUAGCGGCGGACGGGUGAGUAACACGUGGAUAACCUACCUAUAAGACUGGGAUAACUUCGGGAAACCAGAGCUAAUACCGGAUAAUAUUUUGAACCGCAUGGUUCAAAAGUGAAAGACGGUCUUGCUGUCACUUAUAGAUGGAUCCGCGCUGCAUUAGCUAGUUGGUAAGGUAACGGCUUACCAAGGCAACGAUGCAUAGCCGACCUGAGAGGGUGAUCGGCCACACUGGAACUGAGACACGGUCCAGACUCCUACGGGAGGCAGCAGUAGGGAAUCUUCCGCAAUGGGCGAAAGCCUGACGGAGCAACGCCGCGUGAGUGAUGAAGGUCUUCGGAUCGUAAAACUCUGUUAUUAGGGAAGAACAUAUGUGUAAGUAACUGUGCACAUCUUGACGGUACCUAAUCAGAAAGCCACGGCUAACUACGUGCCAGCAGCCGCGGUAAUACGUAGGUGGCAAGCGUUAUCCGGAAUUAUUGGGCGUAAAGCGCGCGUAGGCGGUUUUUUAAGUCUGAUGUGAAAGCCCACGGCUCAACCGUGGAGGGUCAUUGGAAACUGGAAAACUUGAGUGCAGAAGAGGAAAGUGGAAUUCCAUGUGUAGCGGUGAAAUGCGCAGAGAUAUGGAGGAACACCAGUGGCGAAGGCGACUUUCUGGUCUGUAACUGACGCUGAUGUGCGAAAGCGUGGGGAUCAAACAGGAUUAGAUACCCUGGUAGUCCACGCCGUAAACGAUGAGUGCUAAGUGUUAGGGGGUUUCCGCCCCUUAGUGCUGCAGCUAACGCAUUAAGCACUCCGCCUGGGGAGUACGACCGCAAGGUUGAAACUCAAAGGAAUUGACGGGGACCCGCACAAGCGGUGGAGCAUGUGGUUUAAUUCGAAGCAACGCGAAGAACCUUACCAAAUCUUGACAUCCUUUGACAACUCUAGAGAUAGAGCUUUCCCCUUCGGGGGACAGAGUGACAGGUGGUGCAUGGUUGUCGUCAGCUCGUGUCGUGAGAUGUUGGGUUAAGUCCCGCAACGAGCGCAACCCUUAAGCUUAGUUGCCAUCAUUAAGUUGGGCACUCUAAGUUGACUGCCGGUGACAAACCGGAGGAAGGUGGGGAUGACGUCAAAUCAUCAUGCCCCUUAUGAUUUGGGCUACACACGUGCUACAAUGGACAAUACAAAGGGCAGCGAAACCGCGAGGUCAAGCAAAUCCCAUAAAGUUGUUCUCAGUUCGGAUUGUAGUCUGCAACUCGACUACAUGAAGCUGGAAUCGCUAGUAAUCGUAGAUCAGCAUGCUACGGUGAAUACGUUCCCGGGUCU